UGGGGAAUUUUGGACAAUGGGCGCAAGCCUGAUCCAGCCAUGCCGCGUGCGGGAAGAAGGCCUUCGGGUUGUAAACCGCUUUUGUCAGGGAAGAAAUCUUCUGAGUUAAUACCUCGGGAGGAUGACGGUACCUGAAGAAUAAGCACCGGCUAACUACGUGCCAGCAGCCGCGGUAAUACGUAGGGUGCAAGCGUUAAUCGGAAUACUGGGCGUAAAGCGUGCGCAGGCGGUUUUGUAAGACAGAGGUGAAAUCCCCGGGCUCAACCUGGGAACUGCCUUUGUGACUGCAAGGCUUGAGUGCGGCAGAGGGGGGAUGGAAUUCCGCGUGUAGCAGUGAAAUGCGUAGAUAUGCGGAGGAACACCGAUGGCGAAAGGCAAUCCCCUGGGCCUGCACUGACGCUCAUGCACGAAAAGCGUGGGGAGCAAAACAGGAUUAGAUACCCUGGUAGUCCACGCCCUAAAACGAUGUCAAC
rnacentral:rRNA from 1 species